CACACACACACAGCCUGACGCCCCUGUACAAAGUAUUUCUGUGGAAUUACUGAUCUGAAAAUACAAACCCAGUUGUGUUUGCUGUGUGACAUUAAAAGUGAAGUCUGGCAGCUGCUCCAGCGUUGCAGGGUUGCAGAUGACGAUGGGCUCUUUGCCGCCGGCUCCGUUACUUGCAGCUUCCCCGUGCAGAGCCUGAGCCACGGCCCUGGGCGGAGUUAUCGCCUUGGUCCAGUCGUGGGCAAUGUACUGGUGGUACGGAUCAUGAGAGCUCUCCAGCUUCUUGGAGCGAAUGUAGCUGAGCAUGAUGCCGAAUGUGAAGAAGCUGAACAUGCCAACCACCAGGAUGAUAUACAUCAUGCCCUGAGACUGAGCGUGGGCCCGGGCUCCAGCCUGCGCAGCCGGCUGGGUAGUGUAGUUCUGAGGUAUCUGUGGAGACAGUAUACUGGUGCUGUUGAGGCAGUGCUGCAGGAAGGAGAGGAGGAGCGACUGCAGCUCGGUGGUGUUGAUGUGUGACAUUGCUAACCUCUGCUGGACGCUCGGCAAACUGCAACUGAGGAGGAAGAGGAGAUGUAAGAAAAAGAUUCAUGUCAAAGUAAAGAUCACCGUACUUUAUUUCUACAUAAAUGACACAGUAUUUCACUAUUGCAUUAGGUUGCUUAAUCAAUAACUGAAUUAUUCCGGCUAAGCUGCCUAAGCACCGAAAGAGGCAACAGACAAAUAAGAAAAAGAUGAUUUCUGAGUUGCAGAUCACUACGCUCACAAGUUGCUGAAAGAUUUGACAUGUUUUCCUUCAAAAUAGACAUUGAUAGAACGAGUGCCUAUUAAGACAACAGGAAAAAAAGAUGGAGGGGCCAAGUGAGAAGCAUAACAAUCAAGAAUGGGACAGUCUCAGAGUGUGAGAAAAUGAACCACAUCUCACAGUGAUUUUAAAUAAAACUCAUUUAUCCAGAAUUAAUAAAUGAGUAUUGAGUGA